ensembl:rRNA 5S_rRNA 5S ribosomal RNA
GCCACAGCCAUAUCACCCUGCAGCCCAAGACCGCUUACUCACUGAAGCCAAGCAGAGCUGAGCCUGUUCAGUACUUGGAUGGGAGACCACAUGGGAAAACUAGGUUGCUGAUGGAA